UACGAAGGGGGCUAGCGUUGUUCGGAAUCACUGGGCGUAAAGGGCGCGUAGGCGGCUGUUCAAGUCGGGGGUGAAAUCCCGUGGCUCAACCACGGAAUGGCCUUCGAUACUGGACGGCUCGAGACCGGAAGAGGUGAGUGGAACUGCGAGUGUAGAGGUGAAAUUCGUAGAUAUUCGGAAGAACACCAGUGGCGAAGGCGGCUCACUGGACCGGCAUUGACGCUGGGGUGCGAAAGCGUGGGGAGCAAACAGG
rnacentral:rRNA from 1 species